CCCCCACCCCAACCCCGGAAAAAUUCUCCAAAAAAAAAAAAAAAAAAGGACGUCUAAUUCUACUUUUCGACCCGAACGCCCAGGUCCGAGGUUUCUCACCUGAGCAGAGCAGAGACGUACAUAGAAACCCAUCAGUGUAUUUGCAAGUUCUUUUCUUCACGGAGCAAACAACAACAACAACAAAAAAAAAUAUAUAUAUAUAUAUAAAAACAGUCAUGUAGUCCUUUUGUAUCUUUGCAGAACUGUGAUUAAAAAAAGAAAAAGAAAAAAGAAGCAACCUUUAAUGUAUCUAUUGGAGAUGUCCACAUGCAGAAGAGAUUGUUCGGAGAUUUUCCUCUUUCUCUCUAUCUCUGUCUCUCUCUCUCUUUCUCUUUCUUUUAUUUUAUUUAUUUAUUUUUUUUUUUUCAUGCAGUUGAUUUUCCUUGGUAUUGGCAACGUGCUGGCAUCAAAGAAUAUCAGUUUACAUAUACAGUAUUAAUAAAGUGUAAUAAAAUCCCACCAAAGGACAUUAUCAAUGUUCAGGUUUUUUUUUUUUUCUGUUUUUUGUUUUUUUUUUGUUAUUGCUUUAACAGGAGAAUUUAAGUGAAUAAAAGUUUGAAAAUUAUAGUCUGUUUAUCACGUGUCACACUUAUAUGGGCUUCACUUCCUGUUUCAUCCCCCAGUGUUUCAUCAUACAGAAUUUUUGUUAUGGUUCCACUUUUGUUUUUAUUUUUUUUUUAUUUAUUUUUUUUUAUGUCAUGUCAAUAUACGAGAUUGUCUUUUUCAUUACUUUAUAUAUCAUUUUACAGUUUUUAAUACAAACAUCCAUAAGACAUGAGUUCCCCACAUGUUGAUAACUGUGUUGAAAUCCAUUUGGUAAAUCGAGAUGUUUGUCUUGAGGUUCUCCGAAAAAGAAAACGUGAAAUGUGAUUUUCUUUUUUUUUCCCAACAUAUUCUGUCAUCCUGAGCCAUUCCCACAAUGCAUCAUGCCUCCAUACUGACAAGUCAGCUAAACCAAUGCUGUAUGUGAUCAUUGGAACCGAACCCCCUGACAAGGCUUCGCUGACAAAAUGAUGGCAUGAAAAGUCGGUAGUGAUAUUUCCGUGCUAUUUAUCUUGAAUUUAAUCUGGCGGAGAUUUGUUUCAGUGUCGUGCAUUGUCGGAGGCACUGAAUUAAUUAUUUACAACUAUUGAUGUCUCCCAGGGAGCCCGGGCUCAAAGUUUAUAUAGUGGCUCUUGUCAGACGGCCGACAGUUCAUCCAUAACCUGAAAUAUUGAAGGCCGACUUUGGCUCGACAUGGUCCUGUUUCCAAAGUUUGUCUCAAAACAAGUCGAAUAACUUAUAAAGAGACCAAUGUGUUUAAUUCGGGGGGGGAAGAGAAUUUAAGUUUAGAGGAUUGUUCCUAACAAAUACUUCAAUAAUAAUUCUUCAUAAUUUUGUUGUUCUUAUUCUCGACGUUGCCCUAACGCUAUUGUAAAUCAUUCAACCAGUUUGAAUUACGAGUCCGACCAGUCCCUCGAUGACAGACGUUCGUACUCGAAUCAAACGACACAUUCUCAGCUAGCUUCGGUAGACUUCGGUGAUUCACGGAGGUACUAGAUUAGAACACUUCCAAAUGCGUCCGACUCUGGGGGACGUCCUGGUGAAUUCACUCAAAGUCACUUGUUUGUCAAGGUCUCCUGCCGUGGCUUUUUUAAAUUUAACCAUGUAUUUUGCCCAGGUGUCAACAUGCAAUAGCGUCGCUGUUGUUUGGGGGAAGGGACUGUAUCCUUGAUUCCUCACCCCCCGGCUCUGUGGGCUCCCCCAUGAAGAACAUGGACGGUCACUGGACGACCACCGUCAUUUGUGUCAUUUGGAAGUGGGGGUUUCGCAUGAUUUUACAGAGAAAAUGGUCGGCCACGGUGUGAUCGGAGUAAGAUCGGUGACCGUCAACACCGGGCGAAGGGAAAAUAAAGGUGGAAAAACAGGGACUUGCAGAGCUCUGGUGGUACAACCGCAGCAUCGGCGCUGAUCGCCUCAACAAAUGCCAAGUCACAAAGUUGAAACCAGACGGUUGUUUCCCCCGUGUCAACCCUGUCCUCGCGCUCUCACCUGUGUCAAGCUAAAAGAAAGAAAGACUGAUUCGAAAGGGGCGUGGCCACCUUGAGGGCACGGAGACAUUUCAAGUAGGAGCGCAGCAGAACUCGUCCCAGUCAGACUACGAUAACACGUGACGACCAGACACGACGAGCCGAUGCAGACGGACAAGAGCAGCAAAUGAAAUGAAGCCGCGGCUCUGAGAAGUACACCAGGGGUGCGAACGAGACGGUGCCUU